rnacentral:rRNA from 1 species
GACGAACGCUGGCGGCGUGCCUAAUACAUGCAAGUCGAGCGGACAGAAGGGAGCUUGCUCCCGGAUGUUAGCGGCGGACGGGUGAGUAACACGUGGGUAACCUGCCUGUAAGACUGGGAUAACUCCGGGAAACCGGAGCUAAUACCGGAUAGUUCCUUGAACCGCAUGGUUCAAGGAUGAAAGACGGUUUCGGCUGUCACUUACAGAUGGACCCGCGGCGCAUUAGCUAGUUGGUGAGGUAACGGCUCACCAGGGCGACGAUGCGUAGCCGACCUGAGAGGGGGAUCGGCCACACUGGGACUGAGACACGGCCCAGCCUCCUACGGGAGUCAGCAGUAGGGAAUCUUCCGCAAUGGACGAAAGUCUUACGGAGCAACGCCGCGUGAGUGAUGAAGGUUUUCGGAUCGUAAAGCUCUGUUGUUAGGGAAGAACAAGUGCAAGAGUAACUGCUUGCACCUUGACGGUACCUAACCAGAAAGCCACGGCUAACUACGUGCCAGCAGCCGCCGUAA